rnacentral:rRNA from 1 species
CGGCGGACGGGUGAGUAACACAUAUCCAACCUGCCCAUAACUCUGGAAUAUCCUUUCUAAAGAAAGAUUACUCCCGGAUAGUAUACGAAUAUCGCAUGAUAUUUUUAUUAAAGAAUUUCGGUUAUCGAUGGGGAUGCGUUCCCUUAGUUUGUUCGCCGCGUUACGGCCCACCCAGACUACGAUGGAUAGGGCUUCUGAGAGGAAGGUCCCCCACAUUGGAACUGACACCCGGUCCCCACUCCUACGGGAGGCAGCACUGAUGAAUAUUGGUCAAUGGGCGCGAGCCUGAACCAGUCUAGUAGCGUGAAGGAUGAAAGCUCUAUGGGUCGUAAACUUCUUUUAUAUGGGCAAUACAAGAUUCCACGUGUGGAAUUUUGUAUGUACCACAUGAAUUCGGAUCGGCUAACUCCGAGCCAGGAGCCCGCGGUAAUACCGGAGGAUCCGAGCGUUUUUCCGGAUUUAUUGGGUUUAAAGGGGAGGGUUAGGUGGAUUGUAAAGUCAGUUGUGAAAAGUUGGCGGCUCAACCGUAAAAAUUGCCUGUUGAAACUGGCAGUCUUGGAGUACAGUAGAGGUGGGCGGGAAUUCGUGGUGUAGCGGGUGAAAAUGCUUAGAUAUCACGAAGAACUCCGAUUGCGAAGGCAGCUCACUAGACUGUCACUGACACUGAUGCUUGAAAAGUGUGGGUAUCAAACAGGAUUAGAUACCCUGGUAGUCCACACAGUAAACGAUGAAUACUCGCUGUUUGCGAUAUACAGUAAGCGGCCAAGCGAAAGCAUUAAGUAUUCCACCUGGGGAGUACGCCGGCAACGGUGAAACUCAAAGGAAUUGACGGGGGCCCGCACAAGCGGAGGAACAUGUGGUUUAAUUCGAUGAUACGCGAGGAACCUUACCCGGGCUUAAAUUGCAUUUGAAUAUGUAGGAAACUAUAUAGCCGCAAGGCAAAUGUGAAGGUGCUGCAUGGUUGUCGUCAGCUCGUGCCGUGAGGUGUCGGCUUAAGUGCCAUAACGAGCGCAACCCUUAUCUUCAGUUACUAACAGGUCAUGGUGAGGACUCUGGAGAGACUGCCGUCGUAAGAUGUGAGGAAGGUGGGGAUGACGUCAAAUCAGCACGGCCCUUACGUCCGGGGCUACACACGUGUUACAAUGGGGGGUACAGAAGGCAGCUACCUGGUGACAGGAUGCUAAUCCCAAAAACCUCUCUCAGUUCGGAUCGAAGUCUGCAACCCGACUUCGUGAAGCUGGAUUCGCUAGUAAUCGCGCAUCAGCCAUGGCGCGGUGAAUACGUUCCCGGGCCUUGUACACACCGCCCGUCAAGCCAUGAAAGCCGGGGGUACCUGAAGUACGUAACCGCAAGGAGCGUCCUAGGGUAAAACUGGU